UUUUUCAGUGACUUUGUGCACGCACAGAGGACAGCAAGGAGGAACACACACCUACGGCCUUGGAAGUGUGACCAUGUCUGAACCAGGAGCCACAAAGUUGCUCUGGGUCCUUCCCCUUCCUGCUCAGCAACAAAUGCAAGCAGCAAGCUCCACCUGCGGCAAACUUCAGGCCACAAACCACAAUCUGAAGCAAAAUAUAUUAAAGAAAGGAAAGGAGGUCUCUGGCUGGCUGACAGUUGAAAAGAUCCUGAUGCCUACUUUCCAUCCAGAUGACAGAUGUCUAAGAAAGGCUGUCAACUCAUUUCUCAUGAAGCAGUUUUUAAAAAUCUGGCAUCUUUCAGCUCACACUGAAUGAACAACACACUGAACCCCCAAAUCCUUAUGGAAAAACUGUAGUUAUUUUACCAGUAAGAACCUGCCAGGUCUAGACUAAAUAUAAACUAUCCAGCUAUUUUGUGUGUGGUCAAAUGUUCUGUGUGGUGAAAUAUCUCACCAUAAUAUUUCAUUGCAUCAAUCAAUUAAUUCUUAUGCCUCUGCAUUUAGGAAUGAUAUCUACCUAAAGGAAGUAACUAUCACUUUACUUUAACCACAUUAAAUGCUGCACAGAGGUGAGAACAUUUCACUUGAUAAAAAACAAACAGAAAUAAAUAAACAAAAAAAGAGUUUUAAGUUGUCCUA
rnacentral:lncRNA from 1 species